GGCGGCUACACAUGCAGUCGAGCGGAUGACAGGAGCUUGCUCCUGAAUUCAGCGGCGGACGGGUGAGUAAUGCCUAGGAAUCUGCCUGGUAGUGGGGGACAACGUUUCGAAAGGAACGCUAAUACCGCAUACGUCCUACGGGAGAAAGCAGGGGACCUUCGGGCCUUGCGCUAUCAGAUGAGCCUAGGUCGGAUUAGCUAGUUGGUGAGGUAAUGGCUCACCAAGGCGACGAUCCGUAACUGGUCUGAGAGGAUGAUCAG
rnacentral:rRNA from 1 species